rnacentral:rRNA from 1 species
GACAAAUUAUUUAUCACCUUGUAAACUCUUCAGAUCUUAGAAGUUAGGCAAGGUUGAGCCUGAUAUGUACUUUGAUGGGAGACCUCUAAGGAAAACCAGGUUGCGCUGUAC